CAUCGAGCCUGUGCUGCAGUAUGUACCAAGAGGGGUCACACCCUAGCCUCUAACCCCUACCAUCGAGCCUGUGCUGCAGUAUGUACCAAGAGGGGUCACACCCUAGACCCUACUCCCUACCAUCGAGACUGUGCUGCAGUAUGUACCAAGAGGGGUCACACCCUAGCCUCUAACCCCUACCAUCGAGCCUGUGCUGCAGUAUGUACCAAGAGGGGUCACACCCUAGCCUCUAACCCCUACCAUCGAGCCUGUGCUGCAGUAUGUACCAAGAGGGGUCACACCCUAGACCCUACUCCCUACCAUCGAGACUGUGCUGCAGUAUGUACCAAGAGGGGUCACACCCUAGACCCUAAACCCUUCUCCCUAUGCCUUAACUCAUACCCCCUAGUCCCUACUCGUCCUAAACCAAGAGAGAGGACGAUCCAGCCAGCCCAGAUCCAACCCCCUGAUGAUGACAUGCUGUGCAUUGUGGCCAAUCAGCUUUCAGUGUGAGCCAGCGUGGGGCCAAUCCGCUCGGCCUUUUAAAGAAAACUUUAUUGAUCCAUUCGUAGUGGUUUUUACUUUUAAGUCUCUGGAGUUUUGAUUGUUAUUGGCAGCAUCUGCCAUCAGUGACCAGGAUGAAGCUGAGUCGCCCUCCUGAGGGCAGCCAUCAUGAAUACCCACAAUGCUCUGUCUGGUGUCUCGCUUCACAAUGGGUGCGUUUGACAUUGCAGCCGACUUUAAAAGGCGAGUCGAGCCCGACUGAUCUACAAAUCACCUUAGAUCAUUAAAAAAACGACCGACUCGAUAAUUAUAUGUGGGUCAAAUCAGUCCCUUCAUACAGCUUCUGCUGCUCUGGAACACGACCAAUCGGAGUCUGUGGGUGCGCUGUACAGGAAGUAAGGGUACCAUUUGACACGCAGACCAGAAGAUGUGCCUGGACACAGAAUAGUGAAUAUUUUAUAAUGACUUAGGUUUGUGUAUGUAGUAGUUAGCCUGUAUUUCUGUUCGUUAAGGUCAAUCAUUAACCUUCUAUACAGUCUCAGCCCUGUCUAAGACUGGGGGCGAGGUGGGGUUCUACUCUGCUAACAUAUGGAGGUGGGGUUCUACUCUGCUAACAUAUGGAGGUGGGGUUCUACUCUGCUAACAUAUGGAGGUGGGGUUCUACUCUGCUAACAUAUGGAGGUGGGGUUCUACUCUGCUAACAUAUGGAGGUGGGGUUCUACUCU